rnacentral:rRNA from 1 species
GGCGGCAUGCCUUACACAUGCAAGUCGAACGGCAGCACGGGUGCUUGCACUGGUGGCGAGUGGCGAACGGGUGAGUAAUACAUCGGAACAUGUCCUGUAGUGGGGGAUAGCCCGGCGAAAGCCGGAUUAAUACCGCAUACGAUCUACGGAUGAAAGCGGGGGACUUCGGGCCUCGCGCUAUAGGGUUGGCCGAUGGCUGAUAGCUAGUUGGUGGGGUAAAGGCCUACCAAGGCGACGAUCAGUAGCUGGUCUGAGAGGACGACCAGCCACACUGGGACUGAGACACGGCCCAGACUCCUACGGGAGGCAGCAGUGGGGAAUUUUGGACAAUGGGCGAAAGCCUGAUCCAGCAAUGCCGCGUGUGUGAAGAAGGCCUUCGGGUUGUAAAGCACUUUUGUCCGGAAAGAAAUCCUUGGCUCUAAUACAGUCGGGGGAUGACGGUACCGGAAGAAUAAGCACCGGCUAACUACGUGCCAGCAGCCGCGGUAAUACGUAGGGUGCAAGCGUUAAUCGGAAUUACUGGGCGUAAAGCGUGCGCAGGCGGUUUGCUAAGACCGAUGUGAAAUCCCCGGGCUCAACCUGGGAACUGCAUUGGUGACUGGCAGGCUAGAGUAUGGCAGAGGGGGGUAGAAUUCCACGUGUAGCAGUGAAAUGCGUAGAGAUGUGGAGGAAUACCGAUGGCGAAGGCAGCCCCCUGGGCCAAUACUGACGCUCAUGCACGAAAGCGUGGGGAGCAAACAGGAUUAGAUACCCUGGUAGUCCACGCCCUAAACGAUGUCAACUAGUUGUUGGGGAUUCAUUUCCUUAGUAACGUAGCUAACGCGUGAAGUUGACCGCCUGGGGAGUACGGUCGCAAGAUUAAAACUCAAAGGAAUUGACGGGGACCCGCACAAGCGGUGGAUGAUGUGGAUUAAUUCGAUGCAACGCGAAAAACCUUACCUACCCUUGACAUGGUCGGAAUCCUGAAGAGAUUCGGGAGUGCUCGAAAGAGAACCGGCGCA